GGGCGCCUGGGAAGAGUUAUAUUUUUUUUUUAACGACUUUACCACCCUGAAACCGGUUCAACCGGAGAUAGGGUCCAACAUCUGGAAGAGCACCACACGUAUUGCGGUGUUUGGUACCCCCU
rnacentral:ncRNA from 1 species